CUGACUUACUACAAUUGAAAAAGUUGAAGGAAGGUGUCGGCUUCAGUUUGGUUUGUAAGGUUCUUCAUGUGUGUGAAACUGAAGGAGACCAGUGGAUGCUCUUCGUGUAGGAUGGUACUGACACUCCCCCAGUUGCAAUCAAAUCCAACCUAGAAGAUGAAAAGGAAAAUCCGCUUCCUUUACAGUCGGAACCUAUUCCUUUAUCAAGAGAUGUUUUAUGUACCUUCCCACAUGUUGGAACUGUUUUAAGAGUGACUGUUGAUUCUGGUGAUGUAAAGCUUGGCCUCAACUGCAUUAAAACGGGUCGAUGGGUGAAGCUCAUAGGCUUGAAAU